rnacentral:rRNA from 1 species
UUAAAUUGAAGAGUUUGAUCAUGGCUCAGAUUGAACGCUGGCGGCAGGCCUAACACAUGCAAGUCGAACGGUAACAGGAAACAGCUUGCUGUUUCGCUGACGAGUGGCGGACGGGUGAGUAAUGUCUGGGAAACUGCCUGAUGGAGGGGGAUAACUACUGGAAACGGUAGCUAAUACCGCAUAACGUCGCAAGACCAAAGAGGGGGACCUUCGGGCCUCUUGCCAUCGGAUGUGCCCAGAUGGGAUUAGCUGGUAGGUGGGGUAACGGCUCA